rnacentral:rRNA from 1 species
UACAGAGGUCCCAAGCGUUGUUCGGAUUCACUGGGCGUAAAGGGUGCGUAGGUGGCGGGGUAAGUCUGAUGUGAAAUCUCCAAGCUUAACUUGGAAAUGGCAUUGGAAACUACUCUGCUCGAGGGUUGGAGGGGGGACUGGAAUUCAUGGUGUAGCAGUGAAAUGCGUAGAGAUCAUGAGGAAGACCAGUGGCGAAGGCGGGUCUCUGGACAGUUCCUGACACUGAGACACGAAGGCCAGGGGAGCAAACGGG